rnacentral:misc_RNA from 1 species
AAAGCUCCGGUUUUCAUCUGCAGCCGUGAGUGAAGAACGCUAGGGCCCAAAAUUCGUGCCUUCGCUCCCAACAAAAACCAAAAACCAGCGACUCCUCUCUCUCCCUCUCUCUGUAACACGACCUUAUAGAGAGAGACGAUUCUCUUUAAAUCAAAGACAAUAUUCAAUAAGCUUUCCUUUUGCUGCAGUUACCCAAAAUCCUCCAUUCUGGGAUUUUAACCAAAGAAAAAUUUCUCUAUCUUCUUUUGUGGUGGUCGCCUGAGCUUGUUAUAUUGCUUAAUGGCUAACAACCCUCCAUAUUCCAGUAUACAGCCUCUUCAGCCUCCUCCUCCAGUUGGCUCCAUGGAUCAUCCCCGAAAUUUUGCUCCACCCAUGCCUGUUCAAUUCCGACCAGUUGUUCCUGGGCAACAGUCACAGCAGUUCAUUCCUAUGGCUGCUCCACAUUUCCAGACUGUUGGCCGAGGUGUCCCUAUGAUGAAUGCUGGAUUGCCUGCUCAACCUCCACAGCCCCAAUUUCCUCAAUCAGUGCAACAGUUACCAGCAAGACCUGGACAACCAGGCCCGGGUCCACCACCAUCACAGGUCAUUGCAUUGCCAAAUGCUCAGCCAAGCAGGCAUGUUGCACCUGGAUCAUCUUUGCCUCCACCUAGUGUUCCAACUCCAAUUAACUAUGUACCUGGUUUAGGUGGUCCAGGAGCACCUGUACCCCUUUCUACAUCAUAUACUUUUGCACCAACAUCUUAUGGUCAACCACCAGUAACAUUCAAUGCAGUAAGUCAGUAUCAGCCAAUGGCUCAAAUGCAUGCACCAAAUAUUCCUGCUGGAGGACAGCCUGCAAUAUCAUCUGCAAAUCAGAGCACUGCCCCUGUUGCACCUGUGCAGCACAAUGGGGAACAAUCUUCAGUUACUACUGCCAAUGUUCCGACAACAGGUAUCCAGCCCUCUAAGCCUACAGAGGAGAUUGCAACAGACUGGAAAGAGCAUGUAUCUGCCAAUGGAAGAAGAUAUUAUUAUAAUAAGAGGACAAGACAAUCAAGUUGGGAGAAGCCUUUUGAAUGGAUGACGCCAAUUGAGAGAGCGGAUGCAUCAACUGACUGGAAGGAAUUUACUAGUCCUGAUGGAAGAAAGUAUUACUUCAACAAGGUUACCAGGCAAUCAAAAUGGGAAAUCCCUGAGGAAUUGAAGGUUUCCACCCAUGGACUUGUUUAUCUGUUGUUUCGCUCUAUUUUACUAUGCCAUUUUGCAGUUUCUUACUUCUGUUCACUGUUGGUUUAAAACAUAUGCUUCAAGUUGGCUCGUGAACGAGCUGAAAAAGCAUCUAUAGUGGAGACCCAGACAGAAAAUUCAGCAAAUUCUCAUAACCAAGCUGCUGUUCCUCCAUCUGUGGAAAAAACACCAUCUGGUGCAGAUGCUUUGGCUUUCCCAGCUCAAGGGACGCCUUCGAGCCCAGUUCUUGUCACCCCUGUUGCAACUGUUGGUAAUUUGCAAUCUGAAUCAGCUUCUGAAUCAUCAGCCUUACCUGUCAUCUCUUCUUCUGUAACUAGCAAUCCAGAUGGAGUUCAGACAACUGAGAAUCCAGUUUCUGCUGUCUCGGGAAGUUCUGAAGUGACUGCUGCUGGGAUUGGGGUCGAUACCACAACAGCGCCGAUGGACAACUCCAGUAACUUUUCGGGUCAAGAUAAUUAUAGUUCUGCAAAUAAAGCUCCUGCACAAGAUAAAGAGGAAGCUGCAAAAGAUGUAACAAGUGAAAAGGUCAACAAUAUUUCAUUGGAAGAAAAAGCUGUUAGUCAGGAGUCCUUGACUUUUGCUGAUAAAGUGGAGGCAAAGAAUGCAUUCAAAGCACUUUUGGAGUCUGCAAAUGUUGGGUCUGACUGGACUUGGGACCAGGCCAUGAGAAUGAUAAUCAAUGACAGAAGAUAUGGUGCACUGAAAACACUUGGAGAACGGAAGCAAGCAUUUAAUGAGGUAGACAUUACAUCAAAAUUUAUGUGGCUUUGCAUUGAAUUUCUAUAAUUGCUAAUUAACUCUUCAUAUGCACAUUAAUUUAUUUGUACUGGUCAUACAAAAUCAACUAUCUUUUGUGCUUUAGUACUUGGGUCAAAGGAAAAAAAUAGAA